UCGGGCCCGGGUAUGAAACCCGGGUUCCGUAUUCAAUACCGGUACAAUCGGGUUUGUAUAAAAAUAAAAUAUCCCACUUGACGUCCCGACUCCCUUCUCUCUCUCUCUCUCUCUCUCUCUCUCUCUCUCUCUCUCUCUCUCUCUCUCUCUCUCUCUCUCUCUCUCUCUCUCUCUCUCUCUCUCUCUCUCUCUCUCUCUCUCUCUCUCUCUCUCUCGCGAAAGAAGCUUCGUAACCCUAGCCGCCGCCAUCUCACGCGGCCCUUCUCCCCCCUCGUGUCUCACUCGUCGCCUUCAUCCUCGCGCCCCUUCCUCCUCGUGCCGUCGUCUCUAUUUUGUGGCUCUGUCUGCAUUGUCGUCGUCUUCGUCGUCUCUCUCUCUCUCUCUCUCUCUCUCACGCUGAAACCUAGCCUUCUCUACCGAUCAAAGCCUCGUUUUCAUCCACGGGUAUGUCUUGUUUUGUUCUCUCAUUUUGGGCCUUCGUACUUUGUUCUAUAAAUAUAACAACACGCUCGUACGAAGUAGAGGUCCAAUCUGGAACGUUUUCUGAUUAGGGCUUCAAUUUUUCUACUUACAGAGAAGGGAGAAAUUGAGAGAGGACAUCAAUGGUGUGCGAAAAGUGUGAGAAGAAGCUAUCAAAGGUGAUAGUUCUGAACAAAUGGAAAGAAGGGGCAAGCAACACCACCGAAGGCGGUGGCUGCAAGAUCAACGAGAACAAGCUCUUCUCCAAAAAGAAGAAAAAAAAAACUGGGUUCAAUCCGGAACCCGGAAUCUGGGUUUUACAAAACCCGAGUUCAUCCGGGUUCCGGCCCAAAUUUGACCCGGGCUAAUCCGGUCCGGGUUCCAGCCAGGGUUUUAAAUCCAGAUUCCUGUUUGGGUAUAUUCGGAUUUCCGAGUCGGAACCCGGAUGAACAGCCCUAGCCAGGAUCGAUGAUAUUGAAUCUCGUGAAUGGCAAAGAUCAGCUGAUCCAAAUGUGUUAGCCACUUUUCAAACUUAAGAGAUCAUGCAGUUUACUUUGUUGAAAUUUAUUAAAAUUCAAUUUGUUAUUUUUAAGUUAAAUAAUUUUAUCAUCUCUAAUCAUAUUUUGGAGAUCAUGUAUUGCAUUUUAGUUGUGCCUCUUACGACUAGGGAUAACAACAUCUAAGAUUAAAAAUAUCAUUUCUUGAAUAAUAGUGAUAGAUCAUAUGAA